GGCCUCGUAACUCAGCGGUGGCUAGAGCGUUGGCUGUACUAAAUGCUUCAUGUUGUUGGCAUGGGUUCGAAUCCCACCGAGGCUG
rnacentral:tRNA from 1 species